UACGGAGGGUCCAAGCGUUAUCCGGAAUCAUUGGGUUUAAAGGGUCCGUAGGCGGUUUUGUAAGUCAGGGGUGAAAGCCCAUCGCUCAACGGUGGAACGGCCAUUGAUACUGCAAGACUUGAAUUAUUAGGAAGUAACUAGAAUAUGUAGUGUAGCGGUGAAAUGCUUAGAUAUUACAUGGAAUACCAAUUGCGAAGGCAGGUUACUACUAAUUGAUUGACGCUGAUGGACGAAAGCGUGGGGAGCGAACAGG
rnacentral:rRNA from 1 species